rnacentral:lncRNA from 1 species
CAAUGUCAAUGAUGGAAAAGAUAUGUUUCUGUAACAGCUAAGAAAAAUAGAAUACAGAGUAGGAAUAUCCAUAUAACAUUAAAAUAAUAUCAAGCCAAAAUAAUUAAGAAACAAAAGUUUUAAAAACUAUACAGUACAAAGCAUAUAUUAUAUCAAUGUAUACAUACAUAUGUAUUAUAUAAACUAGAAAGCACAGAUUUUAAGUCAUGUUAUGAUAGAUGCAAAAUUAGAAUCUGGUAGAAUCUGUAUUUCCCCUUAAUCCGAUUACUUCAAGUUUCUUCUGAAGUGUUCAUAUUUAAUGAAGGGAUUAAGUAGAAGAGUGUUUAAGAGAUGGGUGGUUAUAAAUCCUGUGUCCUGGGGAACUGCUCAGUUGUCCACUCCUCUCUGCAGAAUCCGGAUGCCUCCUUCCUAGAUGGAUCAAACCAGCACUACAAGUGGUCUUUUGCUCUUCUCUUUGGUGAUGCCACAUGCUUUAUUUUCCAGAAUUUAUAAAAAGUAAAGUCACCAUUAUGAUUACAGGAACAGAUUGCUGAAGUAGGUGCUGUUUUGCAGUGGUAAGUUGUGUCAGGGGAUUGAUGGGUACUUUGAAGUUAACAGAAUGGAAUCCCAUAUUUAAGCAGCAGCAAUGAGUCCCAUAAGUGGGUUUUCAAAAACCUUAAAGUUAACAUUUUUAAUGGAGAAAAAUUUAUACGGCAUACACAAUAUUCUACAUUUAACUUAUAUCUAACAAUUUAAUAUAUUAACAAUUAUACCUAAUGAUUUAAUAUAUUAACGAUACCUAAUG